AGUGAACGCUGGCGGUAGGCCUAACACAUGCAAGUCGAACGGCAGCACAGUAGAGUCUGUCUCUUCCGGUUGGCGGGGGCCGGACGGGGAGGAAAUAAAUCGAAUUCUACUUUUUCUUGGGGGAAAACGUGGGAAACCUUACGCAAAUACGGAAUCGACCCACCGGGGGAAGUCAGGGAUUCUUCGACCUUUUGCCGUUUAAUUAGCCGAUGUCGGAUUAGCUAGUUGGCGGGGUAAAGGCCCACCAAGGCGACGAUCCGUAGCUGGUCUGAGAGGAUGAUCAGCCACACUGGAACUGAGACACGGUCCAGACUCCUACGGGAGGCAGCAGUGGGGAAUAUUGGACAAUGGGCGCAAGCCUGAUCCAGCCAUACCGCGUGGGUGAAGAAGGCCUUCGGGUUGUAAAGCCCUUUUGUUGGGAAAGAAAAGCAGCAGGUUAAUACCCCGCUGUUCUGACGGUACCCAAAGAAUAAGCACCGGCUAACUUCGUG
rnacentral:rRNA from 1 species